rnacentral:rRNA from 1 species
UAAGACAGAGGUCCCGAGCGUUAGGCGGAAUCACUGGGCUUAAAGCGUGUGUAGGCGGAUUUGUAAGUACCUUGUGAAAUCCCACGGCUCAACCGUGGAACUGCUUGGUAUACUGCUUAUCUUGGGCCAUCUAGGGGCUACCGGAACAAGUGGUGGAGCGGUGAAAUGCGUAGAUAUCACUUGGAACGCCAAUGGUGAAAACAGGUAGCUGGGGAUGUGCCGACGCUGAGACACGAAAGCCAGGGGAGCGAACGGGAUUAGAUACCCCGGUAGUCCUGGCUGUAAACGAUGUCGACUAGAUCGUAGUGGCUCUGACGCUAUUACGGUCGAAGCAAAAGUGCUAAGUCGACCGCCUGGGAAGUACGGUCGCAAGGCUA